AUACGAAGGUCCCAAGCGUUGUUCGGAAUCACUGGGCGUAAAGCGUGUGUAGGCUGCGCGGAAAGUCAAAUGUGAAAGCCCGGGGCUCAACCUCGGAACUGCAUUCGAUACUCCCGUGCUAGAGUAAUGGAGAGGUAAGUGGAAUUCCUGGUGUAGCAGUGAAAUGCGUAGAUCUCGGGAGGAACACCGAUGGCGAAGGCAGCUUCUUGGUCCAUCCCUGACGUUGAAACACGAAAGCGUGGGGAGCAAACAGGAUUAGAUACCCUGGUAGUCCACGCCGUAAACGCUGAUCACUGGAUGUUGGUUUAGCUCUGCUAAAUCAGUAUCGAAGCUAACGCGUUAAGUGAUCCGCCUGGGGAAUACGGUCGCAAGAUUAAAACUCAAAGGAAUUGACGGGGUCCGCACAAGCGGUGGAACAUGUGGUUUAAUUCGUCGCUACGCGAGGAACCUUACCUGGGCUUGACAUGUAUUUGACAGCUGUGGAAACACAGUCUUUCGGGCUUCGGUUCGGACAGA
rnacentral:rRNA from 1 species